rnacentral:rRNA from 1 species
GGCACUCUGGAGAAACUGCCCGUGAUAAGCGGGAGGAAGGUGUGGAUGACGUCAAGUCCUCAUGGCCCUUACGGGUUGGGCUACACACGUGCUACAAUGGUAGUGACAAUGGGUUAAUCCCAAAAAGCUAUCUCAGUUCGGAUUGGGGUCUGCAACUCGACCCCAUGAAGUCGGAAUCGCUAGUAAUCGCGUAACAGCAUGACGCGGUGAAUACGUUCCCGGGCCUUGUACACACCGCCCGU